GUAACACAUGCAAGUCGAACGAGAAUGUACUGACGGAUCCUUAGGGUGAAGAUAGUACAGGACAGUGGCGGAUGGGUGAGUAACGCGUAAGAAACCUGCCUUUCACACCGGGAUAGCAGCUGGAAACGGCUAUUAAUACCGGAUGACACUUUUUCCCCGCAUGAGGAAGAGGUUAAAGAAUUUCGGUGAAAGAUGGUCUUGCGUCUGAUUAGCUAGUUGGUGGGGUAACGGCCUACCAAGGCGACGAUCAGUAGCCGGCCUGAGAGGGUGUACGGCCACAUUGGGACUGAGACACGGCCCAAACUCCUACGGGAGGCAGCAGUGGGGAAUUUUGCACAAUGGAGGAAACUCUGAUGCAGCGACGCCGCGUGAACGAAGAAGGUCUUCGGAUUGUAAAGUUCUGUCCUGGGUGAAGAUAAUGACGUAACU
rnacentral:rRNA from 1 species